rnacentral:rRNA from 1 species
UGAUGACGAGCCUCUACGGAGGUGAAGUGGUUGAUGCCCUGCUUCCAAGAAAAGCUUCUAAGCUUCAGAUAUAAAGGAACCGUACUGUAAACCGACACAGGUGGGUAGGUAGAGUAUACUAAGGGGCGCGAGAUAACUCUCUCUAAGGAACUCGGCAAAAUGACUCCGUAACUUCGGGAGAAGGAGUGCCUUAUUUAUAAGGUUGCAAUAACAAGAUCCAAGCAACUGUUUAUCAAAAACACAGGUCUCCGCUAAGUCGUAAGACGAUGUAUGGGGGCUGACGCCUGCCCAGUGCCAGAAGGUUAAAGAAGUUGGUUAGUGUAUGCGUAGCUGAUGACUGAAGCCCUGGUGAACGGCGGCCGUAACUAUAACGGUCCUAAGGUAGCGAAAUUCCUUGUCGGGUAAGUUCCGACCCGCACGAAAGGCGUAAUGAUUUGGAUACUGUCUCGGAGAGAGGCUCGGUGAAAUAGACUUGUCUGUGAAGAUGCGGACUACCUGCACCAGGACAGAAAGACCCUAUGAAGCUUUACUGUAACUUGAAAUUGGAAUUGGACUUUGCUUGCGCAGUAUAGGUGGGAAGCGUUGAAGAUAUUCUUGCGGGAGUAUUGGAGCUAUCAGUGAGAUACCACUCUUGUAAUGUUAGAUUUCUAACUUUGAACCAUAAUCUGGUCAAAGAACAGUUUCAGGUGGGCAGUUUGACUGGGGCGGUCGCCUCCCAAAUGGUAACGGAGGCGUACAAAGGUUUCCUCUGAACGGAUAGAAAUCGUAUCUAGAGUGUAAAGGCAUAAGGAAGCUUGACUGUGAGACCUACAAGUCGAGCAGGGACGAAAGUCGGUCUUAGUGAUCUGACGGUACUGAGUGGAAAGGCCGUCACUCAACGGAUAAAAGUUACUCUAGGAUAACAGGCUGAUCUCCCCCAAGAGUUCACAUCGACGGGGAGGUUUGGCACCUCGAUGUCGGCUCAUCGCAUCCUGGGGCGGUAGUACGUCCCAAGGGUUGGGCUGUUCGCCCAUGAAAGCGGUACGCGAGCUGGGUUCAGAACGUCGUGAGACAGUUCGGUCCAUAUCCGGUGUAGGCGUUAGAAUAUUGAGAGGAGCCUUCUUUAGUACGAGAGGACCGAGAAGGACACACCGCUGGUGUACCAGUUAUCGUGCCAACGGUAAACGCUGGGUAGCUAUGUGUGGAGUGGAUAACCGCUGAAAGCAUCUAAGUGGGAAGCCCACCUCAAGGUGAGUAU